rnacentral:lncRNA from 1 species
GGGAAUUCAGUGGGAACCCAUUUCUCAGGGCUGUGACCUCUUUCCUGUUUGUCAGAUGCACUGAUUAUCUGGAAUAAUUUUUUUUUUUUGUGAAGCGUUGUGAGAUUCUGGCAAAAUAGCUGUAUUGGAGCCCAACAGGGAUUGUUAUCUGGCUAAGAAUUGGGUGUACAGCAUGGUCUUGUGCACUUCAUAGACAAGAAGAGGAGCUUAAUGGAGCUGUGGAGUUGAGAUCUGCAUGUCAGUUUUUAUAUUACUUGGGGUAGAUGCAAACAAGAAUCAGUACUCUGAAAUAACCAGAGCUCAUAUGGUGCUUGCUGUAGGGUUUGGUUCAUAUUUAAGUGAACUAUAGGUGUUUUUCAGUUCACUGGACAAACAAAAAGUAUUUCAGUUAAAACUGACCCAAGAUGUUUUGAUUUGGAGGGUGUUCUUAUAAGAGCAAAUUUUUUUUUUACUGACUCUUAAAUUGUUGAAAUAAUGCAAAGAAAUUUUAUGUUAGUAACACUUUUUGUAGAGUUCACUGAAACUGGUUAUAUAUAUUUUAUUUUUAAAAUCAGAUUUAAAUGCUAUUUCUGAAUGUACUCCAUAUGGACUUAGAAUCUUUUUUUUUUUUUUUUUUUUUUUUUUGCCACCACAUUGUAUAAGCUCAAUUUUAGAGCUAGGCCUGGUCAAUGGCUUCUGGUUGAGGGAGAUUGUCUUCUGUUACUGUAGCCUGGGGUGGAGUUCAGGAAGAGACUUCAAGAAGCACUGAUAAGUCAAUAUUUUGGCAUGUGGCUUUUAGUUGAUACUUUGUGGUAAUGUGUUUGUAAGCUGUUUCCCUAAGAAAAGAACCAGUUCUAUUUCAAAGCAUACUUGUUUUAGCAGUACGUGGCACAUGAAAUGCAAGGACUUGACUCAAGUUUUUAUCCAGGGGCUAGCGAAGCUUGUUCUGCUGAGGGCCAAGCCAGAGAAAAGAAGCCAACACCUUUGGGCAAAGAAAACAACGAAAUCUAAGGAGAAGAGCCAGGAAGAAGGGAGGGAAGAGAUGUUCAUGGAAAAACCUACCUCUAAAAGUCCUAUGCUGUCCAGCAAUAGCUUUUCUUUCUUUCUUUUUUUUUUUUUUUUGAGAAAUCUGCAUGUAAAACCAAUGCAAUGUUUUACAUAUUCAGUUUUCCUCAUUGAAAGGAUUCUCUAGCUGUUGAGAAAACAGUUAUUGCCAAUAAAGCUAUUGUCUCCAGAGCUCUCA